AAACGGGUUUGGAACGACAUGAGGGUGAGUAAGUAAUGACAAUUUUCUUUUUUGGGUAAACUAACCCUAUAAAUGGACCUUUUUGCUACUGUACCUUUAAGAGCUCAUAUAAGAGCUUUCUUAAUGCAUGAAAUGACUGAGUAAAGGUCUGUUCAGACUAAGAACGUUAACUAUAACAGUAAUUAGUAACCCAUGCAUUGUUUAUUAUAAGUGUGUGUGUUAAUGUUUUGUUAUCUGCUCUUUAAAGAAGGAUGGAUUCUGAUUGGCUGUCAAUUGAAUUUUAUUUUUUCCCGUCAUUUUUAGAUUUAAAAGGAUUUUUAAAACUAUAUCUGUAUUGUUGUAGUUAUCAUUGUUGGUGUGAACAGUGCUGAAAUGGCCCUCAAAUAGUUAAGAUGGGAGUGACGUGAUCAAGGACCUUGUUAAAAAUAAAGUCAGCCACUCUACUAAUUUUGGGAUGCAUUGGAAGUUGACACAGAAACAAGCCCAUAUCUUACACUUAUCUUUACACCGCUUCCAGAACAAGAAAUUUUUGCAGCUUUGUUUCUAUAUAUGCUUUUCUUUGGACUAGGACAGGGGUUUUGACUUCCAAAUGUUUCAGUAUUUGAAAUCCCACAAUCACAUCCUUCAAAAGAGAAUCAAUUUUUAAUGUCAUGACAUCAUUAUGUCUAUGUUUAGAGGAGACCGAACUGGAGACAUACAUAGUAUUACAUUUUACUCAUAGAGUGCCUUGCAUAUGACUUUGACUUAAUGUUAGUUUAAGGAGUUCUUCUGGUUUGGGUAUAUACAAGUGUAUUUUUAGCACAGUGAAAAACAUUUUAAUUCAACAUUACUUGGUAUACUAAUAUACAUCCUAUUCAUACUCUAUUUGUGACAGUCACAGCUAUGCAAAUCCUGUAUUGUUUAUACAAAUAAAAUACUUUUUAAAACUUUU